AUUGAACGCUGGCGGCAGGCCUAACACAUGCAAGUCGAGCGGGGGUAGCAAUACCCUAGCGGCGAACGGGUGAGGAAUGCUUGGGAAUCUGCCUGGUAGUGGGGGAUAACGUUCCGAAAGGAACGCUAAUACCGCAUACGUCCUACGGGAGAAGGGGGGGGAUCUUCGGACCUCUCGCUAUCAGAUGAGCCCAAGCCGGAUUAGCUAGUUGGUGGGGUAAUGGCCCACCAAGGCGACGAUCCGUAGCUGGUCUGAGAGGAUGAUCAGCCACACUGGAACUGAGACACGGUCCAGACUCCUACGGGAGGCAGCAGUGGGGAAUAUUGGACAAUGGGGGAAACCCUGAUCCAGCCAUGCCGCGUGUGUGAAGAAGGCCUUCGGGUUGUAAAGCACUUUAAGCGGGGAGGAAGGUUCGCUACUUAAUACGUAGCGGAAUUGACGUUACCCGCAGAAUAAGCACCGGCUAACUCUGUGCCAGCAGCCGCCGUAACAC
rnacentral:rRNA from 1 species